UUCCGGAGCUAACGCGUUAAGUCGACCGCCUGGGGAGUACGGCCGCAAGGUUAAAACUCAAAUGAAUUGACGGGGGCCCGCACAAGCGGUGGAGCAUGUGGUUUAAUUCGAUGCAACGCGAAGAACCUUACCUGGUCUUGACAUCCACGGAAGUUUUCAGAGAUGAGAAUGUGCCUUCGGGAACCGUGAGACAGGUGCUGCAUGGCUGUCGUCAGCUCGUGUUGUGAAAUGUUGGGUUAAGUCCCGCAACGAGCGCAACCCUUAUCCUUUGUUGCCAGCGGUCCGGCCGGGAACUCAAAGGAGACUGCCAGUGAUAAACUGGAGGAAGGUGGGGAUGACGUCAAGUCAUCAUGGCCCUUACGACCAGGGCUACACACGUGCUACAAUGGCGCAUACAAAGAGAAGCGACCUCGCGAGAGCAAGCGGACCUCAUAAAGUGCGUCGUAGUCGGAUUGGAGUCUGCAACUCGACUCCAUGAAGUCGGAAUCGCUAGUAAUCGUGGAUCAGAAUGCCACGGUGAAUACUUUCCCGGGCCUUGUACACACCGCCGUCACACCAUGGGAGUGGGUUGCAAAAGAAGUAGGUAGCUUAACCUUCGGGAGGGCGCUUACCACUUUGUGAUUCAUGACUGGGGUGAAGUCGUAACAAGGUAACCGUAGGGGAACCUGCGGUUG
rnacentral:rRNA from 1 species